UACGUAGGGGGCAAGCGUUGUCCGGAAUCAUUGGGCGUAAAGCGCACGUAGGCGGGUUGUUAAGUCAGGGGUGAAAUCCUGGAGCUCAACUCCAGAACUGCCUUUGAUACUGGCAACCUAGAGACUGGAAGAGGUUAGUGGAAUUCCCAGUGUAGAGGUGAAAUUCGUAGAUAUUGGGAAGAACACCAGUGGCGAAGGCGGCUAACUGGUCCAGCACUGACGCUGAGGUGCGAAAGCGUGGGGAGCAAACAGG
rnacentral:rRNA from 1 species